rnacentral:lncRNA from 1 species
AAUAAAUGCAUUUAUUGUCAUGGAGGACUCUGUCUUACCGUGUGUGAAACUGUAACCGUUUGUCGCUUGCAUCCGAGGACUGAGAGAUCAAGGGAUGUAAAACGUACGCUUCUCUCAAAGACCUAAAUAUCUGCUUUACCAGCUUAUGAAACAGUCAUUUUCAGUUGCCUUUUAUCAUUAACAUGUCCUGCACUCUGUAAUUUGCCUCAAAGAAUAUUUUCAAAAUAUUAAAAUAUGAAUUACAUAUAUUUCUUUUUGUUUAAAUUUCUACCUUUUUUCAAGAAAUUUUAUGUACUUUUAAAUUGAUUAAAAAUUGGGGUGAGAUUGUCUUUAAUGUGAUUGUUAUUAAUGAAACAUUAUCAUCGUUUUAUUAUUUUAAAGGCAGUUUAUGUUUUCUUCACAAAAUUUAUUGUUUUGCUUUUAUAUUUGUGCAAUUAAAUUACAUAUAAUUUGUAAUAUCGAGAUGGAACUAACAUAAACAAUAUAUCUUUUUGUUCUCAGAGUACAAAGAAGUCGCUAGUGAAGACCGACAGUAACCAGCCCUCGUAAUUCAUCAACGUAGUUGCAAAGUCCACAACUCCUGCAAAUGCUGCACAUCGUACUGGGGAACUCUAGUUCGCGCUGGUAACAGUAUCCACCUCCGAGUUAACCGACGUUUUCGCCACUGUUCAUAUUUGCAAUCCAUACGAAUCGGAUACAGCGGCGUGGCUUUUCGCAGUGCUGCAACAUUGAUGGCGGUAAGUGGCACAAAUUAUACAAAGAAUUUCGUCAUACAGAAAGAUAAGACGUUUGAAGCAAAAAAAAAAAAGGUAUAGAGAAUAAAGGCAAAAAAGGUGUGAAAGACGGGAGGAUUCCGAAAGUAUAAGCCGUGUCACCCCGUUUGGCUGCUGGUAGGCGGAAUUUGCGUAAUCCCGCGUGCGCCUUUUCGCCGCGGCGCGCCGAAAAGG